GACGAACGCUGGCGGCGUGCUUAACACAUGCAAGUCGAACGGAAAGGCCUGCUUUCCCUUGUGGAUUGCGGGUACUCGAGUGGCGAACGGGUGAGUAACACGUGAGUGAUCUGCCCCCAACUUGGGUAUAAGCCUGGGAAACUGGGUCUAAUUCCCGAUAGGACUGCAGGGUGGUGCCUGUGGUGGAACACGAUUUUCUAGUGGUUGGGGAUGAGCUCGCGGCCUAUCAGCUUGUUGGUGGGGUAAUGGCCUACCAAGGCGGCGACGGGUAGCCGGCCUGAGAGGGUGGACGGCCACAUUGAGACUGAGAUACGGCCCAGACGCCUACGGGAGGCAGCAGUGGGGAAUAUUGCACAAUGGGCGGAAGCCUGAUGCAGCGACGCCGCGUGGGGGAUGACGGCCUUCGGGUUGUAAACUCCUUUCGACCGCGAGGAAGCCACCUGGUUGGAAGGGUGGUGACGGUAGUGGUAGAAGAAGCACCGGCUAACUACGUG
rnacentral:rRNA from 1 species